rnacentral:ncRNA from 2 species
AAACGUAUUAACCUAUGAGGUGCUCACUAAGAGAGAAUAGGGAAGAUGGUGAAAUUCCAUCGCGGUCGCGCCACUGUAAUUGUGAAAGCAUAAGUCAGGAGACCUGCCUUGUAGGAAGAUUCAAC